CAAUAGCGUAUAUUAAAGUUGUUGCAGUUAAAAAGCUCGUAGUUGGAUUUCUGGAUGGAGCGACCGGUCGGGCAUUAAUUUGUCUGCACUGGAGUCGGUUCCGUCCAUCCUCUUGGAAAGUGCGUCGGGCAUUAAGUUGUUUGGCGUAUGAUCCAAGUCGUUUACUGUGAAAAAAUUAGAGUGUUUAAAGCAGGCCUUCGCCUUGAAUACAUUAGCAUGGAAUAAUAAGAUAGGGCUUUGGUCUAUUUUGUUGGUUUGCAGACCGAAGUAAUGAUUAAUAGGGAUAGUUGGGGGUAUUUAUAUUCCGAUGUCAGAGGUGAAAUUCUUAGAUUUUCGGAAGAUAAACUUAUGCGAAAGCAUUUACCAAGGAUGUUCUCAUUAA
rnacentral:rRNA from 1 species